rnacentral:lncRNA from 1 species
GAUGAGGCAAUGAAUGCCUUGAGAGAGGAGUAGCUAGGAUGUGAUCUUCAUGGGAGUAGAGUUAAGGAGAAAGACCAACUUGGGGCAUUGGGUAGAUGGGAUUCUACUCUUGUAUGCACCAGUUGCCUUUUACCCUUAGCAUUCGUUUAAAGUUUAUUCCUUCUUGAGUGAUCCCUUGAGCUGCAUUGAAACCAUAAGCAUUGAAUGAGAUCAUCUUUGUCUCAUAACCCUGUCCCAAUACAAGUGAGUUCACAUGAUUUUCAUAAGCAUGAUUCACAUGAGCUUUAAUGAAUGUCAAAAGGUUGGAACUAUGGCUGUUUGUGAAAACUUAAGCUUAAGCUUGAUUCAUUUGUUGAUGAGUAUGGCAAACGUUUUGUGAGUAAUCUUGUUUACACUGCAUCUUAGAAUUAGCAACUAGGACAGUGAGCCUUGAAUUCUUUUAGUGAUACACUCUCUCAUUAAGGAAUAUGAACUCCCAAUGCAUCCAACCUCUUUCUCUCAUUUGCUCUUUUUGCUUGAGGACAAGCAAAGGACAAGUGUGUGGGAGUUGAUAUGUUCAUAAUUUGCAUCAUUUAGGUUGUAUAUUUCAUUCCAAAUCAUAUCUUAUUUCAUGCAUUUUAGGUCUUUAGGUGUUAUUUUAGGACUUAUGGGUUUGCAUUAGGUCCAAGUGAGUCCUGCAUGUUGUGGAGUGUUUACAGGUGAUUUGGAAGCAGUUUGGACCUAAAAAGAUGAAGCCAGGAGGAGAAAUGGUGAAUUGGGGUUUAAAAAUGGUGAAAUCAGUCUUUUGGAGAUUCUUGGCGCUAGUCUGUACCGCAGGAAGCUUUUUCUUGGCUAUUUUCAUGUAGCGCGGGUGGAUUUCUCGGCCAAAACAUGAACCGGCCAUUCAAGUUUCUCGGCCAAAAUUCCCGGGUGCAGAUACAUCUCCGAGAUCGCGUUACCAGAAGGUCUCUCCUGCCGAUUCAGUCUCCGAGGUCUUCAGAAAAGAUCAAGAUAAUGGAAUCUAGAUCUCAGAACAGUUAGAUUCGAUUAGUUUGGAGCACCGAGCUAAAAGAUACGGCCACCGGAAGACAGACCUCUCUCGCAUCCGUUCCGGAGCAAUCCCAUACGUCUGGAAAGAUCGCCUGUCCAGGGAGUCUUAACGUCCGAUUCAGAUUACAGGGUCUUCCGCAAAGUUGGGGAUGGUCAGGUCACGGAUCCAGAACAUGUGUAAUGAUUGUAUUUGGAAUCGUUAGCAGAGAGUUAAGCUCACCGGAAGGCACACCUGUCUCGCUACAGUUUCAAGACUGAUCCGAUGAAUCACAAAGAUUGCGUGAGACGAUGCCUUUCCAGUCUGAUUCAGUUGUCGGGUCUUCAUCAAGAUUUGAGAUCUUUGAGUGAUAAUUCCAGAACAUCUAAGAUCAUCCAGUUUGGAGCUAUGUGCUGAAAGAUACCGUCUCCGGAGUGACAACUGGUCCAUGAGCUUCAUUUUGAUCGUUUCAAUGCACUUCAGAGAUGAGCUGUCCAGGGAACCUUCCACUUCCCAAGCGCCAAAGGUUCUUUCACAAAAGUUCGAGAUGUUUGAGUUACCUUUCCACUGCAGUUGGAAUCAAUCCAUUUGGAUCUAUAUCUUGGAAGUUACAAUCCUCCGAAUGCGAAGUGGUCCAAGUAGAUUUGAAGUCUGCGAGAUGGUUUUGCGACUUGAAUAACUCGCAGCGCUUAAAGGAUAAUUUCUGGGAAUUGAGCUGCAUGUUGAGAUGUGCGGGUAAGGUAAUCCUGGGUGAGGUCAAAGGCUCCCGAGCAGGAAAAAUGCUAAGUCCACAAAUGUGCGACUUAAGCAUGCGAGUUGGUAGAGUAGUGAACUGAACCGCAGGAACACUCGCUGUUUACACCGAGUUGGGCAUGCGACUUGGGAGUGAAGUGGACCAACUCGCACACAUAUUUGAAGUCCUGUGCUACAUGGUUGUGCGAGCUAGGGAGCAAAGGAAACUGAACCGCAUGAAGACUCGCGGUUUACACCGAGAGAGGAAUGCGACCUAGCUUACAUGAUUCUAUCUCGCUGAAGCUUCUUUCUAGACCUGUGCGAGUUGGGCAUGCAACUUGAGACUAAAGGAGGACCAACUCGCACACAUAUUCUCCCCAGAUUUCAUCUUGGUCAUGCGAGUUGAAGAGAAGAAAGACUGAAUCGCAUGAAAACUCGCGGUUUACACCUAGAUGGGCAUGUGGCUGAGACUGAAGGACUUAAGGCUCACAAGACUGUUUCUUUGGCUGUGCGACUUUGGCAUGCGACUUGGGAAGCUCCUGACCAACUCGCACACUCGACAUUUUACCCAUCAAAGCCGG